UACGGAGGGGGCUAGCGUUGUUCGGAAUUACUGGGCGUAAAGCGCACGUAGGCGGCUUUGUAAGUUAGAGGUGAAAGCCCGGGGCUCAACUCCGGAAUUGCCUUUAAGACUGCAUCGCUAGAAUUGUGGAGAGGUAAGUGGAAUUCCGAGUGUAGAGGUGAAAUUCGUAGAUAUUCGGAAGAACACCGGUGGCGAAGGCGGCAUCCUGGACCGGUAUUGACGCUGAGGCGCGAAAGCCAGGGGAGCAAACGGG
rnacentral:rRNA from 1 species